GACGAACGCUGGCGGCGUGCUUAACACAUGCAAGUCGAACGGAAAGGCCCUGCUUUUGUGGGGUGCUCGAGUGGCGAACGGGUGAGUAACACGUGAGUAACCUGCCCUUGACUUUGGGAUAACUUCAGGAAACUGGGGCUAAUACCGGAUAGGAGCUCCUGCUGCAUGGUGGGGGUUGGAAAGUUUCGGCGGUUGGGGAUGGACUCGCGGCUUAUCAGCUUGUUGGUGGGGUAGUGGCUUACCAAGGCUUUGACGGGUACCCGGCCUGAGAGGGUGACCGGCCACAUUGGGACUGAGAUACGGCCCAGACUCCUACGGGAGGCAGCAGUGGGGAAUAUUGCACAAUGGGCGGAAGCCUGAUGCAGCAACGCCGCGUGCGGGAUGACGGCCUUCGGGUUGUAAACCGCUUUCGCCUGUGACGAAGCGUGAGUGACGGUAAUGGGUAAAGAAGCACCGGCUAACUACGUG
rnacentral:rRNA from 1 species